UGUGUAAUAAGACUUGUCACUUUAGGCUUGAGUGAAACAAUAACAGUAUCUUUAUUUUGGUUCAAGAGUUCAAACACAUACACAGGGCAACAGUAUGCAACAGUCCUUUUAAAUAUGCCUCAUUCCUUCUUUAAAUAUUCAAAACUUUGGAGGGCAUGACAGCCGUUACAUUCCUGACUAAAAAUCUGGUCAGCUCCUUUCUUCCACUCUCCAGAAGAGAAGACAACCUGAAACUGAAAACGUCAGUUGGAAAAACCGUUGGUCUGCCUCUGUCAAGCCAGAAGGCAGCAACCAAUCAGAAUUCUAGCUGACAUAGCCAAACAGCCAUCGCCAUAGCAACCCUUUCCAGUGAACUCAUCACAAUUUGGAGUCUUAAUUUCAUAUUCCCUCACAGAACCUCUCUGAGAUAUACACCAGGAACCUAUUUGCACUACAGUUAUAGCACUAUUAUUCCACUAAGCUUCUGGUUUGUCAUGACAAGAAUUCUAAAUGCUCCCCCCCCAACUGAAAAUACCAGAGUUCCACAGGACAGAACAUGGCAGUGAAUUGGAAGCUUAAAUUACUAGGACAUGGAGGAGAAAACUUUCCUAAUAUUUUGUGAACUUUGGGACACAUUGUAAUACAAAUUGCAACCUGGAUCUCUGGGGAGUCAGAGCUCCCGGCAAGAAGCCACAGCCUCCAAAAACUGCAAUGAAUGUCUUUGUUUGCCUUCAAGUUCUAGUGCACAGCUAAGCAGAAAAAAGAUUAUCGGGGUCUGAGAACGAUUGUAUAAUCCACAAAUGCACUUUAUUUGAUUAAAUGAUGAAAAGGAAACCUUCCAACAACAGGCACAACAUAUGCUAUAAUUGUGGCCCGAGGCAUGGCUAAUCCAGUAAAUCAGGAGCUAUGGCUACAAUGAAAUUAAAAGCCCAAGCCUUUGAUAGAGCAGAUUGGUCUCUGGCUGGUGCUCCCUAUUAUAGCCAGCUAAUCACACCAGGAGCUUCAAUCUUGCCUUGCAGGGCUCUGAAGAACUUCACAUAUGAGGGUGACAUGGAGCAAGUAGCUCUGAUAGGCCCCCAAACCAUCCCAUGCUGGGCCAUAGCAUUACCAAUAUGCUUGCCUUGGGCAGACUUAAAGCUUCCAACACUCCACAGAUAAAACCUUCCCGGACAAAACUCUGGGAAAGAGGCAGACAGGCAAUCAAAAUGGCAAAUGUUAUUAAGGAAGAGGAACAGCAAAGCUAGGAGAGGAUGCAGCAGUUUGCUUUUGCCUGGGCCCCUUGGGAAAGACUAGAAUCCAAUCCACCCCUUCUCCCAUUUCAUGAGUCUUAUUCCUGAAUAAAAUGCACAUUUGAUUUCUGUUUGGAAA